rnacentral:SRP_RNA from 1 species
GCUGGGCAUGGUGGUGCAUGCCUGUGGUCCCGGCUACUUGGGAGGCUGAGGUUGGAGGAUCAUCUGAGCCCAGGAGGUCGAGGCUGCAGUGAACCAUGAUCACGCCACUGCACCCUAGCCCAGGCAACAAAGUGAGCCCCUGUCUCUA